rnacentral:rRNA from 1 species
GGGUUGUGAGGUUAAGCGACUAAGCGUACACGGUGGAUGCCCUGGCAGUCAGAGGCGAUGAAGGACGUGCUAAUCUGCGAUAAGCGCCGGUAAGGUGAUAUGAACCGUUAUAACCGGCGAUUUCCGAAUGGGGAAACCCAGUGUGACUCGUCACACUAUCAUUAACUGAAUCCAUAGGUUAAUGAGGCGAACCGGGGGAACUGAAACAUCUAAGUACCCCGAGGAAAAGAAAUCAACCGAGAUUCCCCCAGUAGCGGCGAGCGAACGGGGAGGAGCCCAGAGCCUGAAUCAGCAUGUGUGUUAGUGGAAGCGUCUGGAAAGGCGCGCGAUACAGGGUGACAGCCCCGUACACAAAAGCGCAUGUGCUGUGAGCUCGAUGAGUAGGGCGGGACACGUGGUAUCCUGUCUGAAUAUGGGGGGACCAUCCUCCAAGGCUAAAUACUCCUGACUGACCGAUAGUGAACCAGUACCGUGAGGGAAAGGCGAAAAGAACCCCGGCGAGGGGAGUGAAAAAGAACCUGAAACCGUGUACGUACAAGCAGUGGGAGCACAGGUUUACCUGUGUGACUGCGUACCUUUUGUAUAAUGGGUCAGCGACUUAUAUUCUGUAGCAAGGUUAACCGAAUAGGGGAGCCGGAGGGAAACCGAGUCUUAAUUGGGCGUUAAGUUGCAGAGUAUAGACCCGAAACCCGGUGAUCUAGCCAUGGGCAGGUUGAAGGUUGGGUAACACUAACUGGAGGACCGAAUCGACUAAUGGUGAAAAACCAGCGGAUGACCUGUGGCUGGGGGUGAAAGGCCAAUCAAACCGGGAGAUAGCUGGUUCUCCCCGAAAGCUAUUUAGGUAGCGCCUCGUGAAUUCAUCUCCGGGGGUAGAGCACUGUUUCGGCUAGGGGGCCAUCCCGGCUUACCAACCCGAUGCAAACUGCGAAUACCGGAGAAUGUUAUCACGGGAGACACACGGCGGGUGCUAACGUCCGUCGUGAAGAGGGAAACAACCCAGACCGCCAGCUAAGGUCCCAAAGUCAUGGUUAAGUGGGAAACGAUGUGGGAAGGCCCAGACAGCCAGGAUGUUGGCUUAGAAGCAGCCAUCAUUUAAAGAAAGCGUAAUAGCUCACUGGUCGAGUCGGCCUGCGCGGAAGAUGUAACGGGGCUAAACCAUGCACCGAAGCUGCGGCAGCGA